AAACAUGCAAGUCGAGCNGUAACAGACAUAAAGAUUCAGCUUGCUGAAUCCGGUGCUGACGAGCGGCGAACGGGUGAGUAACGCGUAGGAAUCUACCCAGUAGCGGGGGAUAGCCCGAGGAAACUCGGAUUAAUACCGCAUACGCCCUGAGGGGGAAAGGGGGCAAUUUAUUGCUCUCACUAUUGGAUGAGCCUGCGUAAGAUUAGCUUGUUGGUAGGGUAAUGGCCUACCAAGGCGACGAUCUUUAGCUGGUCUGAGAGGACGAUCAGCCACAUUGGGACUGAGACACGGCCCAGACAUCUACGGAUGGCAGCAGUUAAGAAUAUUGGACAAUGGGGGCAACCCUGAUCCAGGUAUACCGCGUGUGUGAAGAAGGCCCUAGGGUUGUAAAGCACUUUAAUCAGAGAAGAAGCAUUUUAAGUUAAUACCUUAAUUUGUUGACGUUAACUGAAGAAUAAGGACCGGCUAACUCCGUGCCAGCAGCCGCGGUAAUACGGAGGGUCCAAGCGUUAAUCGGAAUUACUGGGCGUAAAGCGCGCGUAGGCGGUUUAGCAAGUUGUAUGUGAAAGCCCUGGGCUCAACCUAGGAACUGCAUCCAAAACUACUAAGCUAGAGUGCGAGAGAGGAGAGUAGAAUUUCUGGUGU
rnacentral:rRNA from 1 species